GCCUAUAUAGCUCAGUUGGUUAGAGCGUGGUGAUGAUAAUGCAAAGGUUGCAGGUUCGAUCCCUGUAUGGAACA
rnacentral:tRNA from 1 species